GACAGAGGCCUCAAGCGUUAGGCGGAAUCACUGGGCUUAAAGCGUGUGUAGGCGGAUCGUUAAGUGUCUUGUGAAAUCCCACGGCUCACCCGUGGAACUGCUGGGCAUACUGGCGAUCUUGGGCCAACUAGGGGCAACUGGAACAAGCGGUGGAGCGGUGAAAUGCGUAGAUAUCGCUUGGAACGCCAAAGGUGAAACAGGUUGCUGGGUUGUGCCGACGCUGAGACACGAAAGCCAGGGGAGCAAACGGG
rnacentral:rRNA from 1 species